CCUACGGGAGGCAGCAGUGGGGAAUUUUGGACAAUGGGCGCAAGCCUGAUCCAGCAAUGCCGCGUGAGUGAAGAAGGCCUUCGGGUUGUAAAGCUCUUUUGUCAGGGAAGAAACGGUCUACUCUAAUACAGUGGGCUAAUGACGGUACCUGAAGAAUAAGCACCGGCUAACUACGUGCCAGCAGCCGCGGUAAUACGUAGGGUGCAAGCGUUAAUCGGAAUUACUGGGCGUAAAGCGUGCGCAGGCGGUUAUAUAAGUCAGAUGUGAAAUCCCCGGGCUCAACCUGGGAACUGCAUUUGAGACUGUAUGGCUAGAGUGUGUCAGAGGGGGGUAGAAUUCCACGUGUAGCAGUGAAAUGCGUAGAUAUGUGGAGGAAUACCGAUGGCGAAGGCAGCCCCCUGGGAUAACACUGACGCUCAUGCACGAAAGCGUGGGGAGCAAAGCGAGUAGUAGUACCUACGUAGGUACGUACCGCCCGUAACCGAACGUAGUCGUACCUAACGUUAGUUCGGGUACCGGUUAAACUUUUAGUUUCGUUACGGUUAACGGGUACCGACGACGUACGUACCGGUACGGUAGGUAAGGUAACGGACCGGUCCGGGUAACGGGGUACGGGUUACGGGUUCGGACGUAAGUUAAACGUUAAACGUUAACGAAAGUUAGUUAGGACGGCGAGAGAGCGACGGACGGACGACGACGGAGGAGGAGG
rnacentral:rRNA from 1 species